rnacentral:lncRNA from 1 species
GGGCCGUGAAAUUGGGGUCAAAACUUUAAUUUGGAAUUAAAAUUAGAAAAAUCAUAUCUAGGGAACAUGUGUACUAAGUUUCAAGUUGAUGUAACUUUAACUUCAUCAAAAACUACCUUGACCAAAAACUUUAACCUGAACGUCGCACUAUCAUUUUCUAUGUUCAGUGGACCAUGAAAUUGGGGUCAAAACUAUAAUUUGGCAUUAAAAUUAGAAAUAUCAUAUCAUGGGGAACAUGUGUACUAAGUUUCAAGUUGAUUGGACUUCAACUUCUUCAAAAACUUUAACCUGAAGCGAACGGACGGACGGACGCACAGACGAACGGAGGCACAGACCAGAAAACAUAAUGCCUCUCUACUAUCGUAGGUGGGGCAUAAAAAUCGAUGAG